AGCGAACGCUGGCGGCAGGCUUAACACAUGCAGGUCGAGCGGGCAUCUUCGGAUGUCAGCGGCAGACGGGUGAGUAACACGUGGGAACGUACCCUUCGGUUCGGAACAACUCUGGGAAACUGGAGCUAAUACCGGAUACGCCCUUAUGGGGAAAGGUUUACUGCCGAAGGAUCGGCCCGCGUCUGAUUAGCUAGUUGGUGGGGUAACGGCCUACCAAGGCGACGAUCAGUAGCUGGUCUGAGAGGAUGAUCAGCCACACUGGGACUGAGACACGGCCCAGACUCCUACGGGAGGCAGCAGUGGGGAAUAUUGGACAAUGGGCGCAAGCCUGAUCCAGCCAUGCCGCGUGAGUGAUGAAGGCCUUAGGGUUGUAAAGCUCUUUUGUCCGGGACGAUAAUGACGGUACCGGAAGAAUAAGCCCCGGCUAACUUCGUG
rnacentral:rRNA from 1 species